rnacentral:rRNA from 1 species
AAAGCGCGCGUAGGUGGUUUGUUAAGUUGGAUGUGAAAUCCCCGGGCUCAACCUGGGAACUGCAUUCAAAACUGACUGACUAGAGUGUGGUAGAGGGUGGUGGAAUUUCCUGUGUAGCGGUGAAAUGCGUAGAUAUAGGAAGGAACACCAGUGGCGAAGGCGACCACCUGGACCAACACUGACACUGAGGUGCGAAAGCGUGGGGAGCAAACAGGAUUAGAUACCCGUGU